rnacentral:rRNA from 1 species
GACGAACGCUGGCGGCGUGCCUAAUACAUGCAAGUAGAACGCUGAAGGAGGAGCUUGCUUCUCUGGAUGAGUUGCGAACGGGUGAGUAACGCGUAGGUAACCUGCCUGGUAGCGGGGGAUAACUAUUGGAAACGAUAGCUAAUACCGCAUAAUAGUAGAUGUUGCAUGACAUUUGCUUAAAAGGUGCAAUUGCAUCACUACCAGAUGGACCUGCGUUGUAUUAGCUAGUUGGUGAGGUAACGGCUCACCAAGGCGACGAUACAUAGCCGACCUGAGAGGGUGAUCGGCCACACUGGGACUGAGACACGGCCCAGACUCCUACGGGAGGCAGCAGUAGGGAAUCUUCGGCAAUGGACGGAAGUCUGACCGAGCAACGCCGCGGGAGUGAAGAAGGUUUUCGGAUCGUAAAGCUCUGUUGUAAGAGAAGAGCGAGUGUGAGAGUGGAAAGUUCACACUGUGACGGUAUCUUACCAGAAAGGGACGGCUAACUACGUG